AAGCAAUGAUGUGAACAUUGAGCAAGAAGCAUCUUGAAGCGCUCCCACGCCUCAUGGAAUGGUUCACCAUCCAAUUGAGUGAAAUUAUAUAUCUUGCCGCGAAGGUC